rnacentral:rRNA from 1 species
AGCUCACUGGUCGAGUGACCCCGCGCCGAAAAUGUACCGGGGCUAAACAUAUUACCGAAACUGUGGAUGAACCUCUUUGGAGGUUCGUGGUAGGAGAGCGUUCUAAGGGCGGUGAAGUCAGACCGGAAGGACUGGUGGAGCGCUUAGAAGUGAGAAUGCCGGUAUGAGUAGCGAAAGAAGGGUGAGAAUCCCUUCCACCGAAUAUCUAAGGUUUCCUGAGGAAGGCUCGUCCGCUCAGGGUUAGUCGGGACCUAAGCUGAGGCCGAUAGGCGUAGGCGAUGGACAACAGGUAGAUAUUCCUGUACCAGUGCUAGUUGUUUGAGCAAUGGGGUGACACAGAAGGAUAGGGAAUCGCACAGAUGGAAACGUGCGUCCAAGCAGUGAGUGUGAGAAGUAGGCAAAUCCGCUUCUCGCGAAGCAUGAGCUGUGAUGGGGAAGGAAAUUAAGUACGGAAGUUCCUGAUUUCACGCUGUCAAGAAAAGCCUCUAGUUAGAUUAGUACU